ACACUUCUACGGGAGGCAGCAGUGGGGAAUUUUGGACAAUGGGCGAAAGCCUGAUCCAGCAAUGCCGCGUGAGUGAAGAAGGCCUUCGGGUUGUAAAGCUCUUUUGUCAGGGAAGAAACGGUGAAAGCUAAUAUCUUUUGCUAAUGACGGUACCUGAAGAAUAAGCACCGGCUAACUACGUGCCAGCAGCCGCGGUAAUACGUAGGGUGCAAGCGUUAAUCGGAAUUACUGGGCGUAAAGCGUGCGCAGGCGGUUUUGUAAGUCUGAUGUGAAAUCCCCGGGCUCAACCUGGGAAUUGCAUUGGAGACUGCAAGGCUAGAAUCUGGCAGAGGGGGGUAGAAUUCCACGUGUAGCAGUGAAAUGCGUAGAUAUGUGGAGGAACACCGAUGGCGAAGGCAGCCCCCUGGGUCAAGAUUGACGCUCAUGCACGAAAGCGUGGGGAGCAAACAGGAUUAGAUACCCCUGUAGUCCC
rnacentral:rRNA from 1 species